UUUCCGUAGGUGAACCUGCGGAAGGACCAUUAAAGAGUAAGGGUCCUCUAGGCCCGACCUCCCAACCCUUUGUUUACCAAACCAAUGUUGCUUCGGCGGGCCCGUCUUAGGACCGCCGGAGGACCGUCGAAACGUCCUCUGGCCCGCGCCCGUCGAUGGCCCUUAUUAUUAAACUCUGAACCAAACGUGUCCUGUCUGAGUGAUUAUUAUCAAAAUUAGAGCAAAAACUUUCAACAACGGAUCUCUUGGUUCUG
rnacentral:misc_RNA from 1 species